UUUCUUUUUCAAUUCUCCUACCUCUUGGGUGGUUCCCUCCUUCCCCUAAGGGAGGACCCUCUGAGACGAACCUCUGCGGGGGAGCAGAGCCACGGCAGGGCUUUAUCAGGGGUCCCUCCUCAGUCCUCUCUUUCCCUUCUGUUCUCACUGUCUCCAAGCCGGUGUGGGGCCUUGACCUCCUCCCAGGGUAAGGUCUGCCCUACCUUGUGUCUUCACUCUGGAGUCUCAAAACCUAAACGUUUGGGUGCCGGGUGCCCUAGUUCCACUGGGACAACCUCCCUCUGAGACAGAAACGGUCAUGGCCCGCUGCCACAUGUGGGAGAGUCACCGUGCAACAGAGACUCUAGGGAAUUUAUCAACAUAUUGUCCCUACACGGGGACCCAUACCGCCAGUCGAGCGAAGACAGAAAGAUAAGCGUGGGCUGUGGAAAAGUGGAGCCUGUGCUCCAUGAAUAUGCAACUCUAGGCUUCGGAGCUUAGCAUAUUUCAUUCUGUUGCAAGUUGAAACGUGUAGGUAUAUCUCCUUGGCCCAACUCAAAAGGUAGAUGUUUUCUGCCUUCUGCGAGUACAGACACUUGGCAGCCAGCUUUCUCUGAACGUUCGUCUGGAAAAGAAUCUCCGCUUGUUGCUGCAGACGUCAUACACGGUACGCUUGCAUGAUGGACGCCUCCGAGCCGGCCUAGAGAGAUUGUCGCGGGGGCUGUGGGGCCGCAGGGAGUUUAGGUGCCCGCCUCAGGUGUCACGACGCUAUUCAGCCAGGUGCGAACCGACUGGCCUCUCCUCCGGCCCUGCGCCGCGGGCGCCCCCUGGAGGCGGUCGGGGGAGCGGAGACCGGCGCGCCUCCCGCAGCCCAGGGGUCCCCGCCCCUCUUCUUUUGGGUGCCCCUCAGGAUCCCGCAGAGAUUCCCAGCAGCCUCUCAAAUCGCAAUAAAGUUUCCCUACUUCAAAGUCAGUUGCUGUUCUCUCACGUCCACAUCACCAUUUACACCUGGCCAAUUUCCUCUGCUCCAUCCAGACAAAUGGCUUCUUGGCCCCCACUGGGUCACCCCCCUCACUCCUCCAGUUCGGCUCCUUUCUCCAAGGUCCCUUGGUUGGUCUUGCCCCUCAGGCCCUGGUUUAGGCCGGAUCCGGGGUCCCUCCCCACACCAAGGCUUCCCG
rnacentral:lncRNA from 1 species